rnacentral:rRNA from 1 species
AUUGAACGCUGGCGGCAGGCCUAACACAUGCAAGUCGAACGGUAACAGGAAGCAGCUUGCUGCUUCGCUGACGAGUGGCGGACGGGUGAGUAAUGUCUGGGAAGCUGCCUGAUGGAGGGGGAUAACUACUGGAAACGGUAGCUAAUACCGCAUAAUGUCGCACGACCAAAGAGGGGGACCUUCGGGCCUCUUGCCAUCGGAUGUGCCCAGAUGGGAUUAGCUUGUUGGUGGGGUAACGGCUCACCAAGGCGACGAUCCCUAGCUGGUCUGAGAGGAUGACCAGCCACACUGGAACUGGGACACGGUCCAGACUCCUACGGGAGGCAGCAGUGGGGAAUAUUGCACAAUGGGCGCAAGCCUGAUGCAGCCAUGCCGCGUGUAUGAAGAAGUCCUUCGGGUUGUAAAGUACUUUCAGCGGGGAGGAAGGGAGUAAAGUUAAUACCUUUGCUCAUUGACGUUACCCGCAGAAGAAGCACCGGCUAACUCCGUG